AUCCCUUUUUGGUUCAUGAGUGUGAGGACUGGUGUUCACACCGUUCCAUGACAUGUGCCUCCCACAAACCUUGUUAUAGCACCAGCACAUUGCCCAUGUAAAA